CUCAUUUCUAAAAAAUAUUCUGCCCCCCAAAAAAUCAAAAACUGGUGGGCUGUAAGGAAAUCAAGAAAGAUGCAUUAGUAGGUGGUAGGUAUAAAAAGGUUGACUACCCCUGAUCUAAUUAAUGUUGGAAUAUUAGUUACAGGGGUUGCCACCUACUCUUGAUUUCCUAUUUCCAGCCAAAGGAGGAGAGGGGAUAACCAUAGCUCUUUUUGGGCUUCAAGG